AUCAGUCUUUCAUCAAUGUUUAAUAAAUAAGGGAAAGCUUGUAAGUUGUUAGAACAUGGCUGCUAAUUGGUAAAUUCAACCUGUAUAAUGCUUCUCUAAGUAAACUCAGUAUAAACCAUUGUUCAAAUAAAUUACCGGCCAUAUUGCUAUAAAAUGAACAUUGAAAUCUUCAUGUUGUUGAUAAUUUGUUUUACUGAAAUGAGCGAAAGUCUCAGUGCAUUGGACCAUCAUUUUUUUGCGUGUAUUAUGUCAAUAUCUUCAGUGCAUUAAAGAAUAUUAUGUCAAUAUGAAAUAGUUGGACUCCCUCGUUUUAGCAAUUUUGAUCAAAUGAAUGAAAUGAUCAUGCAUGAUUGGCCAACAGCCAAUUCUUUCACAUUCAAGUAUAACAGUUGACAAGUUCAGUAACACCAUCUUUACCUAGUGUUCAAUCCACAAAUCCAAGCAAGCACCCUAGUUUUGUUUUGCCCUAAUCUACAUAUUCAGAUCACAACACUUACAGGAAAAUAGGUGAAAGAGAAAGCUAAAUCAACUCCAGAAACAGAGCCUCAUUCUUGCUGCUAAGGCCUACUUCAUUCAAGGUUGACGAACUAUCAUUAGUGCCGUAAGCACGUCUCGGGUAUGACUUUACCUGUUCAAAUAUCCAGAACACUGAUGGUUAUCAUUUAAUCAUCACAGAUAAAUAUAUCAUAUGCUGGCUAUACAUACAGAAAUGAACAAUAUGAUUGUCUCCAUAAAAAAUUCAUUUUACCUAACGUGUGACACUACAGACUCAAGUGUCAAAUUUGACCCAAAAAAAUUCUCAGUGCUACCAUCUAUUCAUCUAAGCCUUUGUCAGCUUUUAUAAAAUAUCAUGACAACUCACAACAGUGACCUAAUUGAUUCUGAGAUAUGUUUAUCAAAGCAUAUAUAAUUACAGUGUACUAUCUAUGCACUAUUGGUAUAAAUAUCCCAGUUGAGGCUGAAAUCAACACUCUUGGUGCCAUAUAUGAACGUGGAUUGAUUGGAACAUAUCAGAACUGGUAUGAAAAGCCCUUUUCUUCUAUACAUUAAUGAAUAAAUUAAAGGUGGGAGAUCUAUGCUAGGGAAAAGUUGAGUGAGUUUAUUAAAGAAAUAAUAUAAUUAGUUGACACAAAAGUAGCUUUUUUGAAUGCUUAACUACCCAAUAAGAUUAGCAGCAUGUUGGAGUGGAUAGUUUAAAACUUUUGGUAUAGUCAAGGACUUCCAAUUAAUAGCAGCUUUAUGAAAAAAAGGACUUUAAAAAGUUCUAAUUAAUAGGUUUAAUUUUAUAUUAUGCCAGCUUCUCUGCUAGGCAGUACUUAACCCCCACAAAACUUUGUCCUUCACUAUAGACAGGAAACCUAGGAAGCACCUUACCCUACUCAAACAAUGAUGUUUUUUUCAUUUUGAGACCACUCUCGCCCAUGUAGCCAUCAACCUCCUUGUAUAACUAGGUCAUGGUGCCAUCAUUGCACUGAUGGUGGAGAGCAAAAUGAAGUUAAUCUAUCAAACUCACUCUAACUUUUUUGGUUGUUCAUGUUCAUGCACAUGGCUUAGUUCUGAUAAGAUAAAUUGGUUUAGGACUUUUUUUUUUUUGAGAAGUGUGAGCAUAUGCUCCAUUUUCUUUGGGAGACCAAUCUAUGUUCCAUGGCAUGAAACUGUUUCACAUAAAAUGUGGUAUUGUUAAAGUAUAUAAUAUGAACUUAAAUUUGUCACUGUAUAUGUUGGACUGUUUUAGCAUAUGAUAGUUGAAAACUUGAAAUGCAUUACUAGCCACUUUUGUUUUCUCUUAGGUGAGCACAUAGUAGGUGAAAUUCAUAACUAACAAGUAACAACUUUUGUCUUCUCUCAGGUGUGAAGCCAUGUCCACUUACCCACGAACUUAUGACUUCAUACAUGGUGAUUCAGUUUUUAGUCUUUACCAGAACAGGUAAAGUCAAUUUUUUUAGCUCUAAAGUUGGUUACAUGAUCACCUGUUUCUGUUGUCUUAUUUGAAAAUUGACACAUACUUGUGUCAACUGUGACUACCUAAGUCAAAGAUAACAAAACCUCCUAAGUUAUCAAAUUAUUGUCACAGAUGUAACAUGGAGGACAUUCUUCUGGAAAUGGAUCGAAUUUUGAGGCCGAAAGGUAGUGUCAUUUUGCGCGAUGAUGUGGAUGUGUUGGUGAAGGUAAAGAGCAUUGCAGAUGCAAUGCAGUGGGAUACAAAGAUUACAGACCAUGAAGAGGGACCUUACCAAAGAGAAAAGAUAUUGGUGGCAGUUAAGGAAUACUGGACAGCCCCACCCCCAGAACAAAUCCAAGAAAGCAAGAGCUAGUAUCAUCUGCUCUUUCAAAUCCUAAUUUUUAUUUUUGUCAAUUUUCUCAAGAAUUCAAUUCUUUCAUGCACAAAAUUUUCUUUGUUGGACAAGGUGAAAUCUGAUUUAAUCAUCAAGGUCCCCUAAAAAUUUGAGGCUUAUCAGUCUUUCAUCAAUGUUUAAUAAAUAAGGGAAAGCUUGUAAGUUGUUAGAACAUGGCUGCUAAUUGGUAAAUUCAACCUGUAUAAUGCUUCUCUAAGUAAACUCAGUAUAAACCAUUGUUCAAAUAAAUUACCGGCCAUAUUGCUAUAAAAUGAACAUUGAAAUCUUCAUGUUGUUGAUAAUUUGUUUUACUGAAAUGAGCGAAAGUCUCAGUGCAUUGGAC
rnacentral:lncRNA from 1 species